rnacentral:lncRNA from 1 species
CCUGAUAUAAAGAUUUCUAAUGCAUUUCUAAUAUAAAGAUUCCUAAUAAUUCCUUGUAGCUGGGGAUCGUCAGCUCUGGGUUCUUAGGCAACACAUUCUCCAGCAUCUAUGACAAUGACAAAAGGCUCUUGGCACAAAACCCAAGCCUUCAGUCUAGUAGCUCACCACAAUUGCUGCCAUCUGGGAUCGGAAGCAGUUGGUCUGAGGGAGCCAUGGCCAAGAUAUCUUGACAAGAUUCGGCUUGUUAAUAUUGGUAAAUGGUCAAGAACAACAAUUCAAAAACCUGUUGUAUGCUGAGAGAGGAAGAAGAACAAAAAAGGGAUGAUCGAGCACGCAUGCAAGUGUUACGGUUUCCUCGAGGCAUCCAGACUUCAAUAAUUGGAUUACUGAAAAUGAACAAAUCCACUUCUUAUGGUGAUCGUAGUGAUGACGGUGGGUCAAUGAGCUUAGGAGAAGUGACCAAUCAACUAGAGAUUUGCCAUGAAUCUAGAUAUGGGGUAGGGGAGAAGGAUUCUGGAUCCCCUUGUUCUUUUUAGAUCAAGGUGAUGCAAAGAUAAUCAAUCAUUAGCAAUAGAUCCUCAACUCAAAUAGAUGUCAAAUUUGAAGAUGGAGAAGUUAGAGGAGUCAUAAGAUAGGUUGAGGAGACAGGCCACAUCGAUACUUGAGACCAUGCAGGAGGCAGGCUUGGUGAUGGAGGAUCCAAUGGC